UACGUAGGGUGCGAGCGUUAAUCGGAAUUACUGGGCGUAAAGCGCACGUAGGCGGCUUGGUAUGUCGGGUGUGAAAUCCCCGGGCUCAACCUGGGAACUGCAUCCGAAACUGCCUUGCUAGAGUAUGGGAGAGGGAAGUGGAAUUUCCGGUGUAGCGGUGAAAUGCGUGGAUAUCGGAAGGAACAUCAGUGGCGAAGGCGACUUCCUGGACCAAUACUGACGCUCAGGUGCGAAAGCGUGGGGAGCAAACAGG
rnacentral:rRNA from 1 species